rnacentral:rRNA from 1 species
CCCCGUGACGAUACAGCCCUUGCUCAAUCCGCUCGGCAAGUAGAGUCGCCAGAUGUUGAUAACGCGUCAUGCUGUAUUCCUUAUUUGGACCAUACAGAGAGAAAAACCGGUACAGAUGAGGCUAAAAAACCGGAUGCAGAUGUUGUUUUAACCUGUCUGUAUGUUAAAUAAAACUAAUAUUUGCAUCUGUAUUGUGAACUGCCAGAAGACGGAUGAUGAAGCCUCUGAAAGAUGAGGAGGCAGCAGAUGGAAUUUCACGAAAACAAAGCCAAAACGCCGUUUAUCGGCCUAGUGCAACUCUGGCAGGAGGUGAGGCGUUGGCGGCGGCAAAUGCAGACCCGACGAGUGUUACAGCAGAUGAGUGAUGAACGGUUGAGGGAUAUCGGGUUACGCAGGGAGGAUGUGGAGUGAGGGGGGAUAUAAAUUUAUAUAAUAAAACGUUUUUAUGUUUUUAAAUUAAGUUAUAAAAAUUUUCCCGAGACUAUUCAUCAAUAGGUAUGGAGUGUACAGGAAUAUCUUCUUCACUAACCUCUUUAAACUCAUGUCGAUAAUGGUCAAAAAACGCACAGUGAUUACUUGUGUUUUUUGACUGACUUUACAACUCUCAUUAUUCGCUAUUGUGAAGUUUCUCUAAUUGUUUUAUAUCCUGGAAAGUUAAAUGUUAGUUACUGCAUACUUUUUUAUUUUUUGAGAUUUAUUUUCAUUUGAAAUUAUAAAGUCAGGUGAUAAAUGAGUUGUGAUUAAUAGAUAGUUGAUAUCAUUUUUAUCUAAAAUUGAUUUAUGGUGCCGACCUGAAAAAUUAGCUAUUGCCGCCUGAUUAAUUAUACGAUAUUUUUAAAGGUUUUCUUUCAAAUUAGAAAUAUUCUGGGGUUUUGUUUUUGUAUCUUUUAUCUCUAAGGAGCUUGCUUUGGGUCAAUCAGAAUACAUUUCAUGGGUAAAAUGUACUUCCUGGCUAAGUAACUUUGUGAAUCUUAGAGGGUUGAGACAACCGGAUGGCCGUCCUCUUUAUGAAUAUCAUGCAACCAAUGAUGAAUAUAACCAAUUAACGCAGCUACUCCGUGCAGUCGGUCAAUCACAAUCUAAUAUAUGUAAUAAGGACUUUGCUGCCUGUUUUGUUCUUUUUUGCUCUGAGUGGUACCGCAGGGAUUAUGAACGGCAAUGCGGAUGGACGUGGGACCCUAUAUAUAAAAAAAUAGGGAUUUCAUUUACCGCCACAGAGCUUGGUACCAUCGUACCGAAAGGGAUGGACGAUUACUGGCUGCGCCCAAUUCGAUUUUAUGAAUCUGAACGACGCAAUUUUCUCGGAACAUUAUUCAGUGAAGGUGGUUUACCUUUCCGGUUACUCAAAGAAUCAGACAGUCGCUUUCGGUAAUGACUCCAACUUAUUGAUAGUGUUUUAUGUUCAGAUAAUGCCCGAUGACUUUGUCAUGCAGCUCCACCGAUUUUGAGAACGACAGCGACUUCCGUCCCAGCCGUGCCAGGUGCUGCCUCAGAUUCAGGUUAUGCCGCUCAAUUCGCUGCGUAUAUCGCUUGCUGAUUACGUGCAGCUUUCCCUUCAGGCGGGAUUCAUACAGCGGCCAGCCAUCCGUCAUCCAUAUCACCACGUCAAAGGGUGACAGCAGGCUCAUAAGACGCCCCAGCGUCGCCAUAGUGCGUUCACCGAAUACGUGCGCAACAACCGUCUUCCGGAGCCUGUCAUACGCGUAAAACAGCCAGCGCUGGCGCGAUUUAGCCCCGACAUAGCCCCACUGUUCGUCCAUUUCCGCGCAGACGAUGACGUCACUGCCCGGCUGUAUGCGCGAGGUUACCGACUGCGGCCUGAGUUUUUUAAGUGACGUAAAAUCUUGUUGAGGCCAACGCCCAUAAUGCGGGCAGUUGCCCGGCAUCCAACGCCAUUCAUGGCCAUAUCAAUGAUUUUCUGGUGCGUACCGGGUUGAGAAGCGGUGUAAGUGAACUGCAGUUGCCAUGUUUUACGGCAGUGAGAGCAGAGAUAGCGCUGAUGUCCGGCGGUGCUUUUGCCGUUACGCACCACCCC